ensembl:snRNA U6 U6 spliceosomal RNA
GUGCUCACUUUGGUAGUACAUAUACUAAAAUUGGAAGGAUACAGAGAAGAUUAGCACGGCCCGAGGGCAAGGAUGACAUGCAAAUUUGUGAAGCAUUCUACAUUAAA